rnacentral:rRNA from 1 species
UUACCUACUCUUGACAUCCAGAGAACUUUCCAGAGAUGGAAGGGUGCCUUCGGGAAUUCUGAGACAGGUGCUGCAUGGCUGUCGUCAGCUCGUGUUGUGAAAUGUUGGGUUAAGUCCCGCAACGAGCGCAACCCUUAUCCUUUGUUGCCAGCGGUUCGGCCGGGAACUCAAAGGAGACUGCCAGUGAUAAACUGGAGGAAGGUGGGGAUGACGUCAAGUCAUCAUGGCCCUUACGGGUAGGGCUACACACGUGCUACAAUGGCGUAUACAAAGAGAAGCGAACUUGCGAGAGUAAGCGGACCUCAUAAAGUACGUCGUAGUCCGGAUUGGAGUCUGCAACUCGACUCCAUGAAGUCGGAAUCGCUAGUAAUCGUAGAUCAGAAUGCUGCGGUGAAUACGUUCCCGGGCCUUGUACACACCGCCCGUCACACCAUGGGAGUGGGUUGCAAAAGAAGUAGGUAGCUUAACCUUCGGGAGGGCGCUUACCACUUUGUGAUUCAUGACUGGGGUGAAGUCGUAACAAGGUAACCAAGGGCGAAUUCGCGGC